GAUGAACGCUGACAGAAUGCUUAACACAUGCAAGUCCACUUGAAUUUGGGUUUUUAACUUAGGUUUGGGUGGCGGACGGGUGAGUAACGCGUAAAGAACUUGCCUCACAGCUAGGGACAACAUUUGGAAACGAAUGCUAAUACCUAAUAUUAUGAUAAUAGGGCAUCCUAUAAUUAUGAAAGCUAUAAGCGCUGUGAGAGAGCUUUGCGUCCCAUUAGCUAGUUGGAGAGGUAACGGCUCACCAAGGCGAUGAUGGGUAGCCGGCCUGAGAGGGUGAUCGGCCACAAGGGGACUGAGACACGGCCCUUACUCCUACGGGAGGCAGCAGUGGGGAAUAUUGGACAAUGGACCGAGAGUCUGAUCCAGCAAUUCUGUGUGCACGAUGAAGUUUUUCGGAAUGUAAAGUGCUUUCAGUUGGGAAGAAACAAAUGACGGUACCAACGGAAGAAGUGACGGCUAAAUACGUG
rnacentral:rRNA from 1 species